rnacentral:lncRNA from 1 species
CAAAGGGCAUAGCAUUCAUUGCACAAGUUGGUCUCGGUGGUGAACUUCGCACGGUAUAUUAUUGCUUUCUAUUACCUUUUUAACUUACCUAAUGUCAAAGGCAUAUUUCUAGUGUGUUUUCUCUGCAGCUAUUCAACUAAUUGUAUUGGAUGCAUUUGCUGACAUAGAGAUUAGAAAUUCAAAGGGCACACACUUUUUUACUUAAUAAAUCUAACCAUCUCAUCUUAUGUUCACAAGAAAACUUUUGUAGUCAAUUGGCUGGUUUUGAUCUCACAAAAUUUUCGAACCGCAUGGGGAAU